rnacentral:snRNA from 1 species
AUACAUAACCUAGCAGGGAAGAUACCAUGAUUGCAAAAGUGGCUUUCCCAGGACAAGGCUUAUCCGUUGCCUUCUGAACGUGCUGAUCCCUGGGACUUCCUAAAAUGUGGGAAACUUAACUGCAUAACUUGUUGGGGAUUUUGUUUUCAAAAAU